GACGAACGCUGGCGGCGUGCCUAAUACAUGCGAGUAGAACGCUGAAGGAGGAGCUUGCUUCUCUGGAUGAGUUGCGAACGGGUGAGUAACGCGUAGGUAACCUGCCUGGUAGCGGGGGAUAACUAUUGGAAACGAUAGCUAAUACCGCAUAAUAGUAGAUGUUGCAUGACAUUUGCUUAAAAGGUGCAAUUGCAUCACUACCAGAUGGACCUGCGUUGUAUUAGCUAGUUGGUGGGGUAACGGCUCACCAAGGCGACGAUACAUAGCCGACCUGAGAGGGUGAUCGGCCACACUGGGACUGAGACACGGCCCAGACUCCUACGGGAGGCAGCAGUAGGGAAUCUUCGGCAAUGGACGGAAGUCUGACCGAGCAACGCCGCGUGAGUGAAGAAGGGUUUCGGAUCGUAAAGCUCUGUUGUAAGAGAAGAACGAGUGUGAGAGUGGAAAGUUCACACUGUGACGGUAUCUUACCAGAAAGGGACGGCUAACUACGUG
rnacentral:rRNA from 1 species